CGUAUCCCACCUUCCGCUGACUCGGGGAUAGCCUUUCGAAAGAAAGAUUAAUACCCGAUGGCAAAGGACUUCCGCAUGGAUAUCCUUUUAAAGGAUUCCGGUCAGCGAUGGGGAUGCGUUCCAUUAGAUAGUUGGCGGGGUAACGGCCCACCAAGUCGACGAUGGAUAGGGGUUCUGAGAGGAAGGUCCCCCACAUUGGAACUGAGACACGGUCCAAACUCCUAA
rnacentral:rRNA from 1 species